ensembl:snoRNA small nucleolar RNA SNORA23
GAUGAUAUAUAUAUAUAUAUAUAUGUGUGUGUGUGUGUGUGUGUGUGUGUGUUUUACAUACACACACACACACACACACAUAUAUAUAUAUAUAUAUAG